ACGACUACAUAUCAGGCAUAUCAAUAAGCGGAGGAAAAGAAACUAACAAGGAUUCCCUCAGUAACGGCGAGUGAAGCGGGAAGAGCUCAAAUUUGAAAUCUUCAAGGUUCUACCUUGACGAAUUGUAGUUUAAAGAAGUGUUUUCUGUUGAAGUUUUGGUAAAAGUUCUUUGGAAUAGGACAUCAUAGAGGGUGAGAAUCCCGUAUUUGACCAUUAUUUUCAGCUGUGUGAUACACUUUCAAAGAGUCGGAUUGUUUGGGAAUGCAGUCCAAAAUGGGUGGUAAAUUUCAUCUAAAGCUAAAUAUUGGCGAGAGACCGAUAGCGAACAAGUACCGUGAGGGAAAGAUGAAAAGAACUUUGAAAAGAGAGUUAAACAGUACGUGAAAUUGUCAAAAGGGAAGCGUUUGACACCAGUGUUGUUUUCUCGAAAAUCAAUUAAAAAGAGUUGGAUUUUGUGUUGUAUUGACCUUAACAGCUUGCUUCACUCUUUUCCAGCUUUUUUUAAUGCACUUUUCGUUUAACAAGUCAACAUCAGUUUCUUUUGUUGUAAAAGGGUCAUUGGAAGGUGGCUUUCUCUUCGGAGAAAGUGUUUAUAGCCUUUGAUCUCUGCAAUCGGAGAGACUGAGGUCUGCAGCGUAGAUCCUUCGGGGUUAGAUACAUUUGUGCUAAGCUACAGCUUUUCAUAGACAACUUGUUGACUAUGUUUAGUCUUGUGACUUACCCGCUUAUGCUAUUUUACCUACGCUUAGGAUGUUGAGCGCAUGUCUCUCUCU
rnacentral:rRNA from 1 species